ACCAAGAUGACUAGACACCGUGUCAUAUAUAUCUUGUUGUGUGACACCUCUUAUUUAUUUCUUUAUUUCUGCACACAAACAUUACCACAGAUUUAACAGCCUAACAAAUUAUUCAUUUAUUAGCUCACAAUCCUACAGGUAAAAAAAUGACACAUGCAUUUUUUUGUCACUUUCUGGCCUCCUUUUCAAAACCAGCAAGAGGACUCUGAAUCCCCCUCAUGCUUUGAAUCGGUGCUCACCUGAUCUGGUCAGUUCCACCUGGAUGGUCUCUGCAUUUUAAGUGUCUACAUUUCAUCAGUGAAUCAAGUAAAUCAUGGCUUCUUCAAGUGCAAGGAUCGAAACCAAUUACCAUUAGUGACCAUCGGGUGCAGCCGAUCCUUUCUGUCCUGUUGCCUGAAUCUCAAUGAUCUCCCAAGUGUGCCCGUGCAAUUUAACAAGAAGAUCAAUACCCCCCAGCAGUUAGCAGCAGCUCUCUUGAAGUGCUUCACAAAACAUGCUACAUUUCUCUACCGAAUAAAUGUCAAAACAUUCCAGCAGCUACAAUUCUUGGGAGAAAUCGUUCUUCUGAAACAUUAUUGACAUACUUUAACCCGCAUUUCCCGCUGCUCUCAGGCUUCCUACUGGCCAGUCAAUUCUGAUUUGGCAAGAGCCCCAUCGACGUUUGUCCCCCACUGGCUUGCUUAGCUGGUGUGAGAGAUAUCAGAAUCUGGUAGGUAGGUCUUGGGGUUCAAGGGCCAGUGGUCUAGCACUGACCCAAGGUCUUGACCAGGGACUCGGCUUCAUCUCUGAUAUGCCCUUGAGACAGAUCAAUAGUAUUGCAGAUCAUGCCUUCCAAAGCACAAAAGACCAGCCCAUUUGAAUGCUUCUAAAUUACUUCUGGCAAACCAAAAGCUUAAAAGACACCCAGAAAAAGAUUAUUUGAAAAUGUGAAAAUCUUCCAGAGAGCAUUGUGAGGAGAAUAUAAUACAAGUGAGCAGAAAGCCAUCUGGGUCUGCCCAGCCUCCCUGUUGAGGUUUCUGAGAGCAGGGACCAUCUUGUGAAAAUGCCACUUUUCUUCCUUCUUGAUUCAAAGAACACUCGGUCCUCAGGAUUCUCUCCUCAGUACUCCUGCACAGCGAAAUGAAGCCAUUGCUGCAGAGAAAAAACAGACAUAGUUACUCAAAAUAGUCAAGGCACAGUAACUAUUGUUCUUCCAAUAUGAAUUCUCUUCAAAUGAUUGGAAACUAAGAUUAUUACUAAACUGGGUUGAGACUGUAAUUUCCUAAUAUAGAGUAUCCCAGGUUGCUAAUCCAGAAAGUUGUAACAGGUUUACUGAGUCAACUGCUGCCUUGUCUUCUCCCUCAGCUCAACCCCUGGUGUUGAUUUGGUCAACACUAGCUCUGGAUCUAAUCAAGUUGAAUUAAUACGAAGGAGAAGGUCUGUAGCAAAGGCAAAGUGUUAUAGUUACCAGCUUUGAUGGGCAAAAUUAUUCAGUGGAGUUAGUCAGUUCAUAUGAGUAUGAUUGUUAAAAUAUUUGCAAAUGCUAGUGGAAAUAUUAGGGUGCUCAGCCUUGAUUUUUUGCAAUAGAUAUC